GAUGAAGAACGCAGUGAAAUGCGAUAAGUAAUGUGAAUUGCAGAAUUCAGUGAAUCAUCGAAUCUUUGAACGCACAUUGCGCCCGCCAGUAUUCUGGCGGGCAUGCCUGUUCGAGCGUCAUUACAACCCUCAGGCCCCCGGGCCUGGCGUUGGGGAUCGGCGGAGCCCCCCGUGGGCACACGCCGUCCCCCAAAUGCAGUGGCGGUCCCGCCGCAGCUUCCAUCGCGUAGUAGCUAACACCUCGCGACUGGAGAGCGGCGCGGCCACGCCGUAAAACACCCAACUCUUCUGAAGUUGACCUCGAAUCAGGUAGGAAUACCCGCUGAACUUAAGCAUAUCAAUAAGGAGGA
rnacentral:misc_RNA from 1 species